GCAAUUUUUCUAAAAUAUCAAAUUGUCUUGAUAGUACUUUUAAAAUGUUAUUUUUUGUAAUAAAAACAUUAAGGUGGGAAAAAACGCAGGAAAACGUACAAUUUCACGAUUAUUUUUUACUUUCUUACGGUAUCAUUACUAAAACUUUUGAGCCAUUUUUGAGCUUUUAAGGAAUUUUAAUUUGUGGAAUUUUGUUUGCUUC